UACGUAGGCAGCAAGCGUUGUUCGGAAUUACUGGGCGUAAAGAGUGUGUAGGCGGUGCUCUAAGUUCGGUGUGAAAUCUCCCGGCUUAACUGGGAGGGUGCGCCGGAAACUGGAGUGCUCGAGCGCGGGAGAGGAAAGCGGAAUUCCUGGUGUAGCGGUGAAAUGCGUAGAUAUCAGGAGGAACACCUGUGGUGUAGACGGCUUUCUGGACCGUAGCUGACGCUGAGACACGAAAGCGUGGGUAGCAAACAGG
rnacentral:rRNA from 1 species